UACGUAGGUGGCAAGCGUUGUCCGGAUUUAUUGGGCGUAAAGAGCGCGCAGGCGGUUUGUUAAGUUCGCGGUGAAAUCUCCCGGCUCAACUGGGAGGGGUCUUCGGAUACUGGCAGGCUUGAGGAGAGCAGAGGUGAGUGGAAUUCUCGGUGUAGUGGUGAAAUGCGUAGAUAUCGGAAGGAACACCAGUGGCGAAGGCGACUUCCUGGCCUAAUACUGACACUGAGGCGCGAAAGCGUGGGGAGCAAACAGG
rnacentral:rRNA from 1 species